GAUGAACGCUGGCGGUGUGUUUUAGGCAUGCAAAUCGAGCGACGAGCCUUCGGGCUACGGAGCGGUGGACGGGUGAGUAACGCGUAGGAAUCUACCCAUUGGUGGGGAAUAGCCCUCCGAAAGGAGGAGUAAUACCGCAUAACCCCGUUUGCUCAAUUGACAAAGCAAUCGACUGAUGUAAUGAACUUGUGCGAGCUACCGAGAUAGCUGGCAGAGUGGGGUUGAUUGUAGGGUCAAUUGAACAAACGGGUAAAGCGCUUUGCGGCGCGCCGAUGGAGGAGCCUGCGUGCUAUCAGCUAGUUGGUAGGGUAAUGGCCUACCAAGGCUAUGACGGCUAGGGGGCGUGAGAGCGUGGCCCCCCACAAGGUCACUGAGACACGGGGCCUACACCUACGGGUGGCAGCAACCAAGAAUAUUGCGCAAUGGGCGAAAGCCUGACGCAGCGACACCGCGUGUGGGAUUAAGUCCCUAGGGAUGUAAACCACUGUGGCAGGGGAAUAAAAAAAUGAAGGUACCCUGCUAGAAAGCACCUGCUAACUACGUACUCCUAAAAUCUUAGGAGCUGGUGCGUAGUAUAAACCUCACUAUAUGCUGGAAAAUCUUGUUAAUGUAU
rnacentral:rRNA from 1 species